rnacentral:rRNA from 1 species
AGAGUUUGAUCAUGGCUCAGAACGAACGCUGGCGGCGUGGCUUAGGCAUGCAAGUCGCACGAGAAGCGAGGGGCAACUCUCGCAGUAAAGUGGCGAAAGGGUGAGUAAUGCCUAGACAAUCUACCCUCGAGACCGGGACAACAGCUGGAAACGGCUGCUAAUACCGGAUGCGAAGCGAAUGACCUCGGUCGUUCUCUUGAACGGGUGGGGACCCUGCGGGGCCUACCGCUCGAGGAGGAGUUUAGGUCCCAUCAGCUAGUUGGUAGGGUAACGGCCUACCAAGGCUUCGACGGGUAGCCGGCCUGAGAGGGUGUACGGCCACACUGGGACUGAGACACUGCCCAGACUCCUACGGGAGGCUGCAGUCGUGAAUCUUCGGCAAUGGGCGCAAGCCUGACCGAGCGACGCCGCGUGGAGGAUGAAGGCCUUCGGGUUGUAAACUCCUUUCACCUAGCAAGAAAGCCGGAAACCUAACACGUUUUCGGUUGACGCAACUAGGAGAAGAAGCCACGGCUAACUCUGUGCCAGCAGCCGCGGUAAUACAGAGGUGGCAAGCGUUGUUCGGAAUCACUGGGCAUAAAGGGCGCGUAGGCGGCGACUCAAGUCAGGUGUGAAAGCCCUCAGCUCAACUGGGGAAUUGCGCCUGAUACUAGGUUGCUCGAGUGUAGGAGGGGAGAGUGGAACUCCUAGUGGAGCGGUGAAAUGCGUAGAGAUUAGGAGGAACGCCGGUGGCGAAAGCGACUCUCUGGCCUACUACUGACGCUGAGGCGCGAAAGCUAGGGGAGCAAACGGGAUUAGAUACCCCGGUAGUCCUAGCCGUAAACGAUGGGCACUAAGUAGGGGGGUUUUCGAUGAUCUCCCUGCCGGAGCUAUGUAUAGUGCCUCGCUGGAGUAUGUCGCAGCUGAACUCAAAGAUGACGGGGCUCAAACAAGCGGUGGGAGCAUGUGGUUCAUCGAAGCACGCGCAGAA